UACGUAGGGUGCAGGCGUUAAUCGGAAUUACUGGGCGUAAAGCGUGCGCAGGCGGCUCUUUUAAGUCAGAUGUGAAAGCCCCGGGCUUAACCUGGGAAUUGCGUUUGAAACUGGAGAGCUGGAGUGUGGAAGAGGGGGGUGGAAUUCCAGGUGUAGCAGUGAAAUGCGUAGAGAUGUGGAGGAAUACCGAUGGCGAAGGCAGCCCCCUGGGAUAACACUGACGCUCAUGCACGAAAGCGUGGGGAGCAAACAGG
rnacentral:rRNA from 1 species